GGGGUAAUGGCCUACCAAGGCGUCGACGGGUAGCCGGCCUGAGAGGGUGUACGGCCACAUUGGGACUGAGAUACGGCCCAGACUCCUACGGGAGGCAGCAGUGGGGAAUAUUGCACAAUGGGCGCAAGCCUGAUGCAGCGACGCCGCGUGGGGGAUGACGGCCCUCGGGUUGUAAACUCCUUUCGCUAGGGACGAAGCGUAUUUGUGACGGUACCUGGAGAAGAAGCACCGGCUAACUACGUGCCAGCAGCCGCGGUAAUACGUAGGGUGCGAGCGUUGUCCGGAAUUACUGGGCGUAAAGAGCUCGUAAGUGGUUUGUCGCGUCGUUUGUGUAAGCCCGCAGCUUAACUGCGGGACUGCAGGCGAUACGGGCAUAACUUGAGUGCUGUAGGGGAGACUGGAAUUCCUGGUGUAGCGGUGGAAUGCGCAGAUAUCAGGAGGAACACCGAUGGCGAAGGCAGGUCUCUGGGCGUAACUGACGCUGAGGAGCGAAAGCAUGGGUAGCGAACAGGAUUAGAUACCCUGGUAGUCCAUGCCGUAAACGGUGGGCGCUAGGUGUGAGUCCCUUCCACGGGGUUCGUGCCGUAGCUAACGCAUUAAGCGCCCCGCCUGGGGAGUACGGCCGCAAGGCUAAAACUCAAAGGAAUUGACGGGGGCCGCACAAGCGGCGGAGCAUGUGGAUUAAUUCGAUGCAACGCGAAGAACCUUACCUGGGCUUGACAUACACCAGAUCGCCGUAGAGAUACGGUUUCCCUUUGUGGUUGGUGUACAGGUGGUGCAUGGUUGUCGUCAGCUCGUGUCGUGAGAUGUUGGGUUAAGUCCCGCAACGAGCGCAACCCUUGUCUUAUGUUGCCAGCAAUUYGGUUGGGGACUCGUGAGAGACUGCCGGGGUUAACUCGGAGGAAGRUGGGGAUGACGUCAAAUCAUCAUGCCCCUUAUGUCCAGGGCUUCACACAUGCUACAAUGGUCGGUACAACGCGUUUGCGAGCCUGUGAGGGUGUGCUAAUCGCUGAAAGCCGGUCGUAGUUCGGAUUGGGGUCUGCAACUCGACCCCAUGAAGUCGGAGUC
rnacentral:rRNA from 1 species